rnacentral:rRNA from 1 species
UGGGGAAUUUUGGACAAUGGGGGAAACCCUGAUCCAGCCAUCCCGCGUGUGCGAUGAAGGCCUUCGGGUUGUAAAGCACUUUUGGCAGGAAAGAAACGUCGCGGGUUAAUACCCCGCGAAACUGACGGUACCUGCAGAAUAAGCACCGGCUAACUACGUGCCAGCAGCCGCGGUAAUACGUAGGGUGCAAGCGUUAAUCGGAAUUACUGGGCGUAAAGCGUGCGCAGGCGGUUCGGAAAGAAAGAUGUGAAAUCCCAGAGCUUAACUUUGGAACUGCAUUUUUAACUACCGGGCUAGAGUGUGUCAGAGGGAGGUGGAAUUCCGCGUGUAGCAGUGAAAUGCGUAGAUAUGCGGAGGAACACCGAUGGCGAAGGCAGCCUCCUGGGAUAACACUGACGCUCAUGCACGAAAGCGUGGGGAGCAAACAGGAUUAGAUACCCUGGUAGUCCACGCCCUAAACGAUGUCAACUAGCUGUUGGGGGCCUUCGGGCCUUGGUAGCGCAGCUAACGCGUGAAGUUGACCGCCUGGGGAGUACGGUCGCAAGAUUAAAAACUCAAAAUGAAAUUGACGGGGGU